rnacentral:rRNA from 1 species
GACGAACGCUGGCGGCGUGCUUAACACAUGCAAGUAGAGCGGAGCGGCGCACGGGUGAGUAACGCGUGAGUAACUGGCCCCUUCUCUGGGAUAACAGUUGGAAACGGCUGAUAAUACCGGACAGUGGGGGAUGACUCGCGUCCGAUCAGCGUGUUGGUGGGGUAGUGGCCGACCAAGGCGACGACGGGUAGCCGGCCUGGGAGGGCGACCGGCCUCAAUUGGCUGUGGUACGGCCCAGACUCCUACGGGAGGCAGCGGUGGUGAAUAUUGCACAAUAGGGGAAACCCUGAUGCAGCAACGCCGCGUGCGGGAUGACGGCCUUCGGGUUGUAAACCGCUUUCAGCCAUGACGCGUGAGUAGAAGAAGAAGCACCGGCUAACUACGUGCCAGCCGCCGCGGUAAUAA